GACGAACGCUGGCGGCGUGCUUAACACAUGCAAGUCGAACGGUGAAGCGCCUUCCUUUUUGGUGGGUGUGGAUGAGUGGCGAACGGGUGAGUAACACGUGAGUAACCUGCCCCCUUCUUCUGGAUAACCGCAUGAAAGUGUGGCUAAUACGGGAUAUUCUGGGUCUGUUGCAUGAUGGGUCUGGGACAGAUUUUGUUUCGGUUGGGGAUGGGCUCGCGGCCUAUCAGCUUGUUGGUGGGGUGAUGGCAUACCAAGGCGGUGACGGGUAGCCGGCCUGAGAGGGUGGGCGGUCACAGUGGGAGUGAGACAGGGACCAGACUCCUACGGGGGGCAGCAGGGGGGAAUAUUGCACAAUGGGCGCAAGCCUGAUGCAGCGACGCCGCGUGAGGGAUGGAGGCCUUCGGGUUGUGAACCUCUUUCGCCAGUGAAGCAGGCCUGCCUCGUUUGUGGGUGGGUUGACGGUACCUGGAUAAGAAGCGCCGGCUAACUACGUG
rnacentral:rRNA from 1 species